CUUUUGCUGGCGACCGGCGCACGGGUGAGUAAUACGUAUCCAACCUGCCCUUUACUCGGGGAUAGCCUUUCGAAAGAAAGAUUAAUACCCGAUAGCAUAAUGAUUCCGCAUGGUUUCAUUAUUAAAGGAUUCCGGUAAAGGAUGGGGAUGCGUUCCAUUAGGUUGUUGGUGAGGUAACGGCUCACCAAGCCUUCGAUGGAUAGGGGUUCUGAGAGGAAGGUCCCCCACAUUGGAACUGAGACACGGUCCAA
rnacentral:rRNA from 1 species